GGGAAAUACUUUCCAGCAGGCAAUCAGAGGAGGCUGAACGGCUGCUUUGGCAGCUGUUGCUCCCUCUGACGCAGCUCUGCUGGCAAGGCUCUUUCAGAUGCCACGGGAGGAGUGGAACAGCCUGAACACCCCCAGUGUUUGCAGUCAUUGAGAAAGGCGCUGAACCCACUGCCCUGCUGGUGUGAGCCUCAUUGGUCCUGCAGAGGGGCCGAUCCCACAUCCCCGCCCCUACAAACAGCGCGCUGGGAUGGGCACAGCCACUGCGGGGCUCGGGGUCCAGGCACUGAGGUGUGUGAGCUCCGGGCUGUGCAUGGGGAGCCUUAGCUGAGAAAACAAGUAAGUUUUUAGCCAGCAUUUACGUCAGGGAUCUCACCACGAGCAGCUGUCGCUGCCUUGCUUUGGAGGAGAGACUGUUGCAGGUGAACUCUGGAGCUGGGAGAAGCUGCACAGAUGUCAGGGAGGAAACCAGCCAAGGAGGAUGUGGCAAGAAAUAACAAAAGAGGAGAAAGUAUUGGGACCUGGAUGAGAUCAGGGAGAUAAAAAAUGGGCUCAGAAUAGUUAGGAGGAAAGAGGAAGGAGUGGGAGCUAAGACAGCCAUGAGUACCAUCAGCAGAAUAGUGAAUGCAAAUGAAUGGGAGGGACAUUGCAGCAGGUGAGGAAAUGCUCAUUAAGAAGAGCUUAAUGAGACAAUAAAAGCCUCUGGGAAGCCUCACAGUCCCCACGCCUCUCCUCUGAAACAACUCCAAACAAACAAACAAAAGCCAGCCUGGUUGAGCAGUGAUGGAUGGAGCUCAGGAGCUGGGAUGACAGCAGCAUUUAUUUUCUCUCAGGUGAUGGAUGCAGGCUGUCGCCCAGCCCAGUGCAGGGUGAGCAGUGCCCUUCACCUUGGCUGGACUAGGUGUGGUGUGGGACUUGCACAUCCCUGCUUGCCAGGGUCACAUCUGGAGUAAGAACAACAAACCUCUGUGAGCCAGUGUUUUCACGCACAGAAAAUUUUCAGAAUUCCUUACAUGGCUGCUAAUUGAAUCAUUGUAAAUGAAACAAAAUCUGUGUGCUCA